rnacentral:rRNA from 1 species
GAGUUUGAUCUUGGCUCAGAUUGAACGCUGGCGGCAUGCCUUACACAUGCAAGUCGAACGGCAGCAUGAUCUAGCUUGCUAGAUUGAUGGCGAGUGGCGAACGGGUGAGUAAUACAUCGGAACGUGCCCUGUAGUGGGGGAUAACUAGUCGAAAGAUUAGCUAAUACCGCAUACGACCUGAGGGUGAAAGUGGGGGACCGCAAGGCCUCAUGCUAUAGGAGCGGCCGAUGUCUGAUUAGCUAGUUGGUGGGGUAAAGGCCCACCAAGGCGACGAUCAGUAGCUGGUCUGAGAGGACGAUCAGCCACACUGGGACAGAGACACGGCCCAGACUCCUACGGGAGGCAGCAGUGGGGAAUUUUGGACAAUGGGCGAAAGCCUGAUCCAGCAAUGCCGCGUGUGUGAGAAGG